rnacentral:lncRNA from 1 species
AUGCAAUCAUCCCCAGUAUACAGCAUAGCCCAUCAAAGCAUGAUGCUGUGGCAGAAAAGAUUCCUGCCCAGAUCAAUAGGUGAAUUCAGAGAGUACUCCUCAUUUCACUCUCUCCAUUACCAUGGCAACCCACGAGAGCGUUGGAUGCCCAUAGUGAGUCUUGAAUGUGCAGUGAACUUUUGCUCAGUAUGGAUGUCAUUUGUUAAUGUUUCUCCGUCUGACUCAGGUCCUCACAACAUGGAGACUCUAUUUCCUGACAGCCAAGGUUCCAACAAAGAUUGAGGUGACAUUUAACUUCUUGGAGAUCCGAGCCAUGAACAGUCACCCAGAGUUGCAGGCGAGUAACAUAAGCCAGAUUAACUCAGGUUUUGAAUGGCCAUGUUGGUGCAUCGUCCAUGUGGCCUCUUUAAUUUGAACUGAUUAGUUAUUUGAACAGAUUUAUAAUGGAGUAGGCCUAUUAGCAACAUCAUCUCAACAUCUGAGCAAUCAAUCAAAUCAGUUAAUCUAAUCUACAAUAUGGAGAUACUGUAUGAGGAUCUUAAUUCAUGUAAGCAGAGCUACAGCAAUUCGGUCUCUGCUUGGAUAUUUACUGCAAUUAACUUAGUUAUCUGGCAUCAUGCCGAAAAUCACUGGUCCGUCUAUCACUCUAUUAAUUGAAACUAUGUUGUUGUUGUUUUCCUAUGCAGGUCGUCAUAGACUUGGACAAGUCCACUUAUUCCCUGAGGCUUCAGUCACGUGACCACCUCAGUCAUGUGGUCAGCCACGUUAACUUUGCCCUGUCCAGAAUAUUCAACAACUCUGUUUUCUCGUAAGUGUCUAUUUUCAGGCAGCAUAGACUCCUGUACCUGACAGCUUUGAAACCCAGACAAAUUAUAAAUAAUGUUAGCUAUUAUGUCCCUUCUGAAACGUGUCCCCUCUCUCUCUCAGUCCCUCCAUCUGUCAUUCAGACAGUGACCUUUCUGAGGGAAGCAGGAAGUACUCCCCCAGCUCAGAGACGUCUGUUGAAACCCAGAGGGCCUGUGGUAAGAAAUGCACAGACAGGCAGGAAGACAGACGGACACAGAUAUACAGACUGCAUAAGAGACAGAUUCUAGUUGAUGAUUGACAGGCAGGAAAUUGUUGAGUAAAUUGAAAUGAGAGGCUGAAAGCAGGUCCUCAUUAAGUGGCAAAUGGAUAGAGAAACCCACUGCACUGCAUGCAGUACAUAUUUUCAAGUUAAUUAUUAGCUUUUUACACAGACAUUGUAAACGUAGGGUAAUUGCACUGCUUGUCAUCUCUAUUUUCUCUCUCUCAGUGAAACAAACACCUGCUCUGCACCCCUGUCCAGCAGUCAAAUAACCAAAUCGCCCUCUAGUGGCCUCAUGGGUGGAAUGUUGUCAAUAUUUUUAAUCAUACCAUAAAUAAUAAACAUAUUGUUCGUUUUUUUUUGCGCUGAAUAUCCAGUGUUUCUACAGUACCAGUCAAAAGUUUGGAUACACCUACUCAUUCAAGGGUUUUUCUUUAUUUUUGCUAUUUUCUACAUUGUAGAACAAUAGUGAAGACAUCAAAACUAUGAAAUAACACAUAUGAAAUCAUUUAGUAACCAAUUUUUUUUUAAACAAAUCAAAAUAUAUUUUAUAUUUGAGAUUCUUCAAAGUACAUAGCCUGGAGGUGUGUUGGGUCAAUUUCCUGUUGAAAAACAAAUGAUAGUCCCACUGAGGGCAAACCAGAUGGGAUGGCGUAUCGCUGCAGAAUGCUGUGGUAGCCAUGCUGGUGACAGUGGUUCUUCCUGUAAAAGUUGCGUCAUACUGCAGUAUACCUUCAUCCUCAUCAUUCAGUUAAUUGAAAUUCAAAUUUGAAGUCGUGCACAAUUAUCAGUUUCCAUUUGGUUCAAAUCGCCCAUUCAUUGUCAGGUAGAGACACAUUGGGACCCAAAAGCAUAAUCAGUGCUCUAACUCCCCCUUGCGGUGGUUUGGAGCAAUGAAGCACUGAUGCAGGGUAACGUACUAUACCACAAAUUACCUCUAAGUUCCGUGGCUUAAUCUCAAAAUGUUUAAUUGAGGAACCACUGUAAGUGUGCCUUGAAUUCUAAAUAAAUCACAGACAGUGUCACCAGCAAAGAAGCCCCACACAAUCACACCUCCUCCUCCAUGCUUCACGGUGGGAACCACACAUGCGGAGAUCAUCCAUUCACCUACUCUGCAUCUCACAAAUGCAUGGAGGUUGGAACCAAAAAUCUCAAAUUUGGACUCAUCAGACCAGUUUUAUCACAGCGCUUGGUGGUUUUUGCGACUGCACUUGAAGAAACUUUCAAAGUUCUUGAAAUGUUCCGUAUUGACUGACCUUCAUGUCUUAAAUGAGUGAUGGACUGUCGUUUCUCUUUGCUUAUUUGAGCUGUUCUUGCCAUAAUAUGGACUUGGUGUCUUACCAAAUAGGACUAUCUUCUGUAUACCUCCCCUACCUUGUCAUAACAAAACUGAUUGGCUCAAACGCAUUAAGAAGGAAAGAAAUUCCAGAAAUUGACUUUUCACAAUACACACCCAAUUGAAAUGCAUUUCAGGUGCCUACAUCAUGAAGCUGUUUGAGAGAAUGCCAAGAGUGUGCAAAGCUGUCAUCAAAGCAAAGGGUGACUACUUUGAAGAAUAUCAAAUCUCAAAUAUAUUUUGAUUUGUUUAACACGUUUUUGGUUACUACAUGAUUCCAUACGUGUUAUUUCAUAGUUUUGAUGUCUUCACUAUUAUUCUGCAAUGUAGAAAAUUGGUACUGGUUUUGUUAUAUUUCAAGUCGGUUUCUUUGAUGUAUAGUAUAUAAAGUGUAAUAGUGGGAUGCAAACUCAAAAUGGAAUACAUUUCAACUCUAUAUCUGACAUGGUACAGGUGUCUUCUUUUGUUAAGCCAAUAACAAUGUGUGUGAGGUGUAUAGUUUUGUUUCAGAGUAGAUUUGUUUAAGACUCCCAAGAAACACUCUGUGUGACCCCUAUUUAGCCCAAUGCAGUAAAAGGUUAAAACCCUCCUCUCUCACCAUCAUCUAUUUUUCUUCCUCUCUGUCCGUCUCAGGAGGGUUUUCCGAGACCUACGCUGCCCUGUGUGACUACAAUGGAAUCAGCUGCAAGGAGGAAGUGCAGUGGGUAAGAGCAAUGGGAGUAGGCCUGUUGUGUGUUCGUGUGCUGGACUGUUAUAGUGCUUUCACAAAGUAUUCAUACCACUUGACUUAUUCCGCAUU